rnacentral:rRNA from 1 species
GACGAACCGUGCGAACGUUGUUCGGAAUCACUGGGCUUAAAGGGCGCGUAGGCGGCUCAUCAAGUCCGGGGUGAAAGCCCCCAGCUCAACUGGGGAAGUGCCUCGGAUACUGGUGAGCUCGAGGGAGGUAGGGGCGGAUGGAACUUCCGGUGGAGCGGUGAAAUGCGUUGAUAUCGGAAGGAACACCAGUGGCGAAGGCGGGUUGCUGGGCCGACACUGACGCUGAUGCGCGAAAGCCAGGGGAGCAAACGGG